GAUGAACGCUAGCUACAGGCUUAACACAUGCAAGUCGAGGGGCAGCAUUUUAGUUUGCUUGCAAACUGAAGAUGGCGACCGGCGCACGGGUGAGUAACACGUAUCCAACCUGCCGAUAACUCCGGAAUAGCCUUUCGAAAGAAAGAUUAAUACCGGAUAGCAUACGAAUAUCGCAUGAUAUUUUUAUUAAAGAAUUUCGGUUAUCGAUGGGGAUGCGUUCCAUUAGUUUGUUGGCGGGGUAACGGCCCACCAAGACUACGAUGGAUAGGGGUUCUGAGAGGAAGGUCCCCCACAUUGGAACUGAGACACGGUCCAAACUCCUACGGGAGGCAGCAGUGAGGAAUAUUGGUCAAUGGGCGAGAGCCUGAACCAGCCAAGUAGCGUGAAGGAUGAAGGCUCUAUGGGUCGUAAACUUCUUUUAUAUGGGAAUAAAGUUUUCCACGUGUGGAAUUUUGUAUGUACCAUAUGAAUAAGGAUCGGCUAACUCCGUGCCAGCAGCCGCGGUAAUACGGAGGAUCCGAGCGUUAUCCGGAUUUAUUGGGUUUAAAGGGAGCGUAGGUGGAUUGUUAAGUCAGUUGUGAAAGUUUGCGGCUCAACCGUAAAAUUGCAGUUGAAACUGGCAGUCUUGAGUACAGUAGAGGUGGGCGGAAUUCGUGGUGUAGCGGUGAAAUGCUUAGAUAUCACGAAGAACUCCGAUUGCGAAGGCAGCUCACUAGACUGUCACUGACACUGAUGCUCGAAAGUGUGGGUAUCAAACAGGAUUAGAUACCCUGGUAGUCCACACAGUAAACGAUGAAUACUCGCUGUUUGCGAUAUACAGUAAGCGGCCAAGCGAAAGCAUUAAGUAUUCCACCUGGGGAGUACGCCGGCAACGGUGAAACUCAAAGGAAUUGACGGGGGCCCGCACAAGCGGAGGAACAUGUGGUUUAAUUCGAUGAUACGCGAGGAACCUUACCCGGGCUUAAAUUGCAACAGAAUAUAUUGGAAACAGUAUAGCCGUAAGGCUGUUGUGAAGGUGCUGCAUGGUUGUCGUCAGCUCGUGCCGUGAGGUGUCGGCUUAAGUGCCAUAACGAGCGCAACCCUUAUCUUUAGUUACUAACAGGUUAUGCUGAGGACUCUAGAGAGACUGCCGUCGUAAGAUGUGAGGAAGGUGGGGAUGACGUCAAAUCAGCACGGCCCUUACGUCCGGGGCUACACACGUGUUACAAUGGGGGGUACAGAAGGCGGCUACCUGGUGACAGGAUGCUAAUCCCAAAAACCUCUCUCAGUUCGGAUCGAAGUCUGCAACCCGACUUCGUGAAGCUGGAUUCGCUAGUAAUCGCGCAUCAGCCAUGGCGCGGUGAAUACGUUCCCGGGCCUUGUACACACCGCCCGUCAAGCCAUGAAAGCCGGGGGUACCUGAAGUACGUAACCGCAAGGAGCGUCCUAGGGUAAAACUGGUAAUUGGGGCU
rnacentral:rRNA from 2 species